AAAAACAAAGAAGACGAGGCAGCGAUGGUGGAAUAGAUGAGGUUGUGUAUGGUCCGACUUUGAGAUAUUGAAGUGAAGUGAGACGGGACAAGGGAGUGAAAUCGUGAAUGUCGUUUUCACUGAGGUCGAGACAUGUGAGCGAUG
rnacentral:misc_RNA from 1 species